rnacentral:rRNA from 1 species
AGCAGUAGCCACGGGAAUACGUAGGUGGCAAGCGUUGUCCGGAAUUAUUGGGCGUAAAGCGCGCGCAGGUGGUUUAAUAAGUCUGAUGUGAAAGCCCACGGCUCAACCGUGGAGGGUCAUUGGAAACUGUUAAACUUGAGUGCAGGAGAGAAAAGUGGAAUUCCUAGUGUAGCGGUGAAAUGCGUAGAGAUUAGGAGGAACACCAGUGGUGAAGGCGGCUUUUUGGCCUGUAACUGACACUGAGGCGCGAAAGCGUGGGGAGCAAACAGGAUUAGAUACCCCAGUAGUCCCUGUCUCUUAUAC